GCCUGCUUAGCUCAGUGGUAGAGCGCGUCACUAGUAAUGACGAGGUCGCCAGUAAGUACACCCAUUCGAGUCGCAUCGAGGACAGGGCGCUGACGUGCCGUGAAGGUUCAAUUCUGGUAGCAGGCA